AGAGAGAAGAGAAGAGAAAAGAGAGAGAAGAGAAGAGAAAAGAGAGAGAAGAGAAAAGAGAGAGAAGAGAAAAGAGAGAGAAGAGAAGAGAAGAGAAGAGAAGAGAAGAGAAGAGAAGAGAAGAGAAGAGAAGAGAAGAGAAGAGAAGAGAAGAGAAGACUCAUCAAUAUAAUGCUGAAGGCCAUCAAGGGGCAAAAGAGGAGCUCCAGCCACUGGGUGAAAUGUUCUGCUUCCCUCAUAUCAUGGUUGGGAGCUCAGAAUACUUUCUAAACAAUUCUAUUAAAUCCCUUUUCCCACAACCCUGAUCUGGUGCUGGCUUUUCUCCGGUCACCCUGAGCCAACUACUCCAUGUAGAAAGAAAAUGGGCUGGAAAUCCUGUCUUGUGACUUACAGGACUCCUGAGCCAAGGAAUGCUGAAUCCUGGAAGAAAGACACUCCUGAGCCCUCCCAUUGGGAACAGGAAUCUUGGAAGGGUUUGCCUUAAUCAUUGAUGAUAACUGGGAAGGAGAAGACAAAAAUGCCAUUUUCACGCAGCUAGAGACAAUCACUCAUGAGUUUGUAUUUUCUGGAUUAGAAAUUCAUAAGAAGACCUCACUCAUCCAAAUACAGGGUAGGUAAUUUGUGAUCUAGAAGUUUCUCUCUGAUGACCUCAAAUUGGCCUGGAGGUGUCUGACUCAGGUGGUGAGUGGAGGUAGCUGCCUUUGGAGCUGACAGGACAACUUGUUGAGGAGGCAAAGACAUUUCAAAGCCCAGACUCAAUUUAUUCAUGAAUUAGGUGUCCAAGUCCCUGGGCUACAAGAGCUUGGUUCAGUCAGCUUAAUGAGAGCUGCUGGAGAUUUCUAAUGGUGUCAGCUGUGACCUCCUGGAUCAACAGCCAGGCAGGAUGCUCUAAAUUGUCUCAUUUAACACCCAAAAACAGAGAGAUCACCCCCAGGUUUCCAUGGGCUGGGAAGGUGAACUGUGGACCUGACCACUGCACUCAGGUGACAGAAAUCCAUGUUGGCCAUGAGCCACUCUGUCACUUUAUUCUGCAGACUGUGACCAUCUUCAGCUUGAGUGUUCCAGAGAAGGCACCACAAAUGCUCCAGGCAGAGAAGGUCAUUGCUGGGCUGGUCAAAAUCUUGGUCAUUAAAACCUCCUGCCUUUGGAAUCACAUUCUGCCUGGUCAGCCAGUUCCUCUCCUGGGCUCCUGACCAGCUGAUCAUGUGGAAAGAGUCAAGCCUAAUUGCUCUGACCUUGACAAAAGUAUAAAAGCACAGGAAGAAAGAGAUGAAAAAGGAGCCAUGUUCUUCACUUGUUAGUGUCAAUUCAUAAUAGUUAAAAUGAGCUGAAUGAAAUGAUUUCAUUUAAAAUGAGGGGUUUUUUUUCAUAAUAAUCUCUCUCAAUAGAAGCCUAAAUGGAAGAUGUAUUCUUUUCCUUCCUCCUUUCUUUUUCCUAAAGCAGAGAAUAUUUUUUUCCUUCCCAAACAAAGAAGUCUUAUUGUGCAAAAUCCUAACUAGCAGAAAACAUCUAUUGUGCUACAUGAUUGCAGGUAUUAUCCUUUGUGUUUAAAAGAUACAGAUACAUUGAAAAAAGCAAUAAGCUCCUAAUUUAACUCUUUCCUGAGACUAAGAUCUUCCAUGUCUCUGAAAAAAGGGAUGAACAUCAGCCUGCUCACAGGCAUGAUGUGGAUUGAUGUGUCCCACCUCCUGCUAACCUCCAAAGGGUAUCUGGGAAUUUUGUGGGAAUGGGGAGGCUGACCUGACUCAUGGGGAAUUGUAACUUGGAGUUUUCUGGGAUUUUUUUACCCCAGAUUUCAUUCCCCUGGCAUGUUUCCAGCUGGUGCUGUUUCUCAGCAAAGACUCUCACGAGUUGUGUGUGGUUUGGUAGAGCUCGUUGUGAUUUACCCAAAUGUGGCAGGCCAGUUUUGCAGAGGAUAUUGCCAUUGAAAUAUUUCCACCUGCACUGUCAUGCUCUUGGCAAUCUCCUCCAGCUGGUUAAUUUUUUAAAAUUUCCUUUUCACAUAAAUUUAAUUACAACAGCAGGAGAGCAGCCCCAGAGCUGGGACAUCCUGUCUCCCCUUCCAACCCAGGGAGUUUAAUCCUAAAUAGUUUUUGACUAUUGUCAAAAUUAUUGACUAUUAUAGGCAUUGUUGGAUUCACCCUUGGUUUUGGCUUGGACAGCCUAUUAAGAACAUUUCAAAGAGCAAUUUGUGUUCCAUUAAUAUUCUAUAAGAUGAUUCAGAGACUCAGCAGACAGCUGGAAACUGCAAUUGCCAAGCAAGCAAGGUGCUCGUCACCUGUGCCAGUAGUGGUACAGUGGGUCCUGGGAUUAGGGUUUAUUUGGCCUGUGCUGAUAUUUAGGUUUUCUGAGUGUGUUUAUUAUAAAAACACCCCUGUAAAAGAUAUAUAUUGUUGUAUGUUCUGAAUGUGAAAAACGAGGUUCACUUGCUUGAUAAAUUAUAAAAGGUUUAAUAUAAACAAAAAGACAAUUAGGAGACAAAGAUAAUAAAGCAAAGAGUUAAAAUGGCUGAGUGCUUGGC
rnacentral:lncRNA from 1 species